ACUUAUAUGAUGAGCUAAUUUGUGGUUCCAUUAACUUUAUUUGCAGAUAAAGGAGAAGUUAGUUGCGGUGGUAGGGGGCAGUUAAUCCUAGCUGGUUGGAACUUCUGAUUUUCUGCAGAAGAGGAACCAAAUUAAUACUUUGGCUGUACUAUGUUUGUAAAUGUUUUCAGUAUACCUGGCACAGGGCACCAGUUAACAAAAUGUUCAAAGUCUAAAUAUAUAAAAAAGUACUGCUUCAAAUUUUGGAAUUUUUUUAAGGAACUUUGAAUAUAAAAUUUUUAUGUAUAGUUUUUCUAGUAGGAGUAGGUGGAAUAAGGAAGUAGAUUUUUUCAGUAUCUUAAAUUUUGUAUUAUCUUUUGAGCACAUUUCUUAUAUUGAUUGAAAUUUGGAUAUCUACAUAUAGGCAGAACCUAGCAUGCUAUUUGCAUUCUGACAGGGAAGGAUUUGCUCAAUUGUGUUGUUGAAGCUCCCUUAUUCUGCGUGUUAUAACUACCUAGAGUUUCUCUCCCCACUCCAGAGAUGAUCCAAGUGUAUGUCAGUGGUUGGUGAAUGAGGGACUGGAGCUGGCUUGUCCCGUAUUCCUUAAUGCUGUCAAAAGCAUCUUCAGACCUCCUUUCUUACCUCAGAAACUCUCCCACUGUCUCCAUUGCUCUUUGUUCUUACCACAUCCUUCCUUCCCAUACCUUAUCUUGCUGCUGGAAGAAAGACUUUUUGUGGAUAGGGUGUUCACUCCUAUGAUAUGCAGAUGAAUUUUACAGGUGUUGUGCCUUUUGCCUGCAUCUGUAGCAAUUAAAUGAUUUGCUUAUUGAAUAUUGAAAUAUGCUACUGAAUGAUGUUACUGAUGAGAUUAUGUGUAAAUGGUGUGAAGUCGUAAUGAAGUUGGAUAACUACUGAUUUCAGUGAAAAAGAGGUUGUGUGUAAGUGUUGGAAGAGAAUAAUGCAUUUGUUGAGUUUCUGCUCUGUAAGACUGAAUACUUAAUAUUUUCUCUCAUUGAUCUACAUAAGCCUUGGAAUAGGUAUUGUUAAUCACACUUUAUAGGCGAGAAGAGAGAGGCUCAAAGAAAUGAAUUACUUCUAAGUGACUUAGCAAAAUUCGCCAUCUAAAAUAUUGUUUGACUCCAGAUCUUGUAUCUUUUUCAUCAACUCCCAUUGCUUCCCUUUUGGUUUGCUGUGAUUAUUUCUAGUUAAAAGGAAGGGGCUCCCAGGAAACCUGGGAAGCAUCAUUUUAUGCUUACUUCAGGAAUUAGGUAAAACUGAAACAAUCCUGUGAUGUGUGGCAAAAGAAAUCUUUAGAAGCCAGAAGUAGUGGUAUUGGAAAGAGAAGUAGGCAGACCUUUUUCUGGGUUCCUCAGAAGGACUGAGGAAUGUUUUAUUAGUAGGAAAUAUUAGUUCUUCACCUGUUGGUUCUCCUUCAUCCUGUUCUUAGGUUUCAGGAAUGAUAAUAGGAAGCCUGAAGUGAGGGAACACAGGCUCAGUGCCACAGUUUCAGGAGAGAGCCCUGUCCUUCAACUGCACUAAAACACUUCAUAGUUUUGUUUUGUUUUGUUUUGUUUAUAAUGAAACAGUGUAGGCAGUCUAGGUUCCAUAGAUUUGUCAUCAUAUUCAUAUGUAUUAUAGGAACCUAGCCAUUGCAUACCAUUUAAUCCUUAUAUUUAUGGAAAAAGGUGUUUUAAAUUAUA